CCUGGCUCAGGAUGAACGCUAGCGACAGGCUUAACACAUGCAAGUCGAGGGGCAGCGGGGGUAGCAAUACCCGCCGGCGACCGGCGCACGGGUGAGUAACGCGUAUGCAACUUACCUAUCAGAGGGGGAUAACCCGGCGAAAGUCGGACUAAUACCGCAUGAAGCAGGGGUCCCGCAUGGGGAUAUUUGCUAAAGAUUCAUCGCUGAUAGAUAGGCAUGCGUUCCAUUAGGCAGUUGGCGGGGUAACGGCCCACCAAACCGACGAUGGAUAGGGGUUCUGAGAGGAAGGUCCCCCACAUUGGUACUGAGACACGGACCAAACUCCUACGGGAGGCAGCAGUGAGGAAUAUUGGUCAAUGGGCGUAAGCCUGAACCAGCCAAGUCGCGUGAGGGAUGAAGGUUCUAUGGAUCGUAAACCUCUUUUAUAAGGGAAUAAAGUGCGGGACGUGUCCCGUUUUGUAUGUACCUUAUGAAUAAGGAUCGGCUAACUCCGUGCCAGCAGCCGCGGUAAUACGGAGGAUCCGAGCGUUAUCCGGAUUUAUUGGGUUUAAAGGGUGCGUAGGCGGCCUUUUAAGUCAGCGGUGAAAGUCUGUGGCUCAACCAUAGAAUUGCCGUUGAAACUGGGAGGCUUGAGUAUGUUUGAGGCAGGCGGAAUGCGUGGUGUAGCGGUGAAAUGCUUAGAUAUCACGCAGAACCCCGAUUGCGAAGGCAGCCUGCCAAGCCAUGACUGACGCUGAUGCACGAAAGCGUGGGGAUCAAACAGGAUUAGAUACCCUGGUAGUCCACGCAGUAAACGAUGAUCACUAGCUGUUUGCGAUACAGUGUAAGCGGCACAGCGAAAGCGUUAAGUGAUCCACCUGGGGAGUACGCCGGCAACGGUGAAACUCAAAGGAAUUGACGGGGGCCCGCACAAGCGGAGGAACAUGUGGUUUAAUUCGAUGAUACGCGAGGAACCUUACCCGGGUUUGAACGCAUUCGGACCGAGGUGGAAACACCUUUUCUAGCAAUAGCCGUUUGCGAGGUGCUGCAUGGUUGUCGUCAGCUCGUGCCGUGAGGUGUCGGCUUAAGUGCCAUAACGAGCGCAACCCUUGCCACUAGUUACUAACAGGUAAAGCUGAGGACUCUGGUGGGACUGCCAGCGUAAGCUGCGAGGAAGGCGGGGAUGACGUCAAAUCAGCACGGCCCUUACAUCCGGGGCGACACACGUGUUACAAUGGCGUGGACAAAGGGAGGCCACCUGGCGACAGGGAGCGAAUCCCCAAACCACGUCUCAGUUCGGAUCGGAGUCUGCAACCCGACUCCGUGAAGCUGGAUUCGCUAGUAAUCGCGCAUCAGCCAUGGCGCGGUGAAUACGUUCCCGGGCCUGUACACAC
rnacentral:rRNA from 1 species